AUUGAACGCUGGCGGCAGGCCUAACACAUGCAAGUCGAGCGAGCGGCGGACGGGUGAGUAAUGUAUGGGGACUGCCCGAUAGAGGGGGAUAACUACUGGAAACGGUGGCUAAUACCGCAUACUAUCGGAUAACCCAUAUGGGAUUAGCUAGUAGGUGGGGUAAAGGCUCACCUGGGCGACGAUCUCUGGCUGGUCUGAGAGGAUGAUGGGCACAACUGGGACGGAGACAGGGCCCAAACUCUAAGGGAGGAAGCAGGGGGGAAUAUUGCACAAUGGGGGCAAGCUUGAGGAAGCCAUGCGGGUGGUAGGAAGAAGGCCUUAGGGUGGUAAAGUACUUUCAGCGGGGAGGGGUUACCCGCAGAAGAAGCACCGGCUAACUCCGUGCCAGCCGCCGCGGUAAUA
rnacentral:rRNA from 1 species